rnacentral:lncRNA from 1 species
GUUUUCAUGGUGCGACUGAACGACUGGAAAAAGUAUGAAAUUGCGGAGCUGAAAGAGAGAAGAUCCUCAGAGUGCAGUUUGGCUCUCGGCUCGGUUUUGUGUCAGCAGCCGCUCGCUGUGUGACUGACACCGGCCUGAGAAAACUGAUGUUUGGUACAGGGAGCAGGCUCAUCGUUGAAGCGAGUGAAUCGUCUGAGCCGUCCUACUACAGGCUGAGUGGACAAGAUGAAAAAGGGAAAAACAUCUCGGCCUGCCUGGCCAGCGACUUCAGCGACUUCAACACCACUAGAGACAGUGUGCUGUUCAAUGGGACGGAGGCGACCCGGAUGGAGGGAGACCGUUUCUACAGCCAGGUGGCGCUGUACAAGCCAGAGGACGGGCAGGAUUGCCCGGAAACAUCUGGACCCGGCUGUGGCGGUGGACUCUUCAGCCCAGACGUGGGGGUGAACACCGUGUCCUUCAUCGUGCUCGGCCUCAGGCUCCUCCUCCUGAAGACCAUCGUCUUCAACGUCCUGAUGACCCUGCGGCUUUGGAUCAGUUAGAACGCAGCAGGACGCCGCAGCGUCGGGACGUCGGGACGUCCUGCAGCCUGUCGGACGCUCCCCGUGUGCCAGAGCCCGGCUCGGGCUUUAAAUCAUGAAUGAGUUUUCUAUUUGUUCUUUGUUUUUUUUUGAUCAUUUUAUCAUUUUAUCAUUGGAUCAUUUCCACUGCAGUGUCUCUGUCCUGUAAAUAUCCCGGCUCCAUGUCCCCGUCCCGUCCCUCAUGUGUCUCUC